rnacentral:lncRNA from 1 species
AGUCCUUCGCCGUCCCUCGCCGUCCUUCGCCAUCGCACGCCACCGCACCCCAUCUCUCGAAAUCUGCAGACAUCUUGAUUUUUCCCACGCUGUCUGUCAGGUCUCCGCCGCCACUCGACGCCAGGGCGCCGGGUGAGUCCACAGCAGGGCGCAUGGUCGGCUCCACUCUCACCAUCGGGGGAAACUGAGGCCCCGGGGAAGGCGGCCAGAGAGGUCAGGCCCUGUCCUUGGUGCAGUGUCUCGUCCUCUUUGCCGGAGUGAGCCCCCCAGGAUUCGCGUGUCCUCGGGAAAGACACUGGCAGGCCUUGUGGGCUGUGCUGCACCUCGGACGGCUUCGCACCAGCCAGCGCCCUCUCUCUCCUGCAGCACUCUGAUCUGCACCCCCUGAGGGGCUUCCACUGUCCGCGGGGUGAGAAUGCCCCUGGGAGUGUCACAUGACUGCCGCCCCAUGUGUGUGAGAGGCGUCCUCUGGGAGAGCAUGGAUCCUGAGGUCCCAGGAACAUCCCGAGAGCCAAGUUCCCAGAUGCCAGCCAAGGGCCAUCUGACCUGUUUUGAAUCUCAAUUUCCUGAUACAGAAAACAAAGGAUUGUCAGCUGACCUCUGUCCUGUGUGCCCAGUGGCCCCAGGUGACGUGUCUUCAAGAAGAGGCUGAGCUGCGGUGCUUGUAAGGGUCUCAUUCUGUCACCCAGGCUGGAGUGCAGUGGUGCAAUGAUGGCUCACUGCAGCCUCGACCUGGGCUCAAGUGAUCCUCCACCUCAGCUUCCUGAGUAGCUGGGACCACAGAGUCAUGUGCUGUUCCUGGGGCUUGGAUGAUGUAGGGGAAGCAAGGUGAAAGUGGUAUCCCGUGGUUCCACGUUCUGUCCUGCUGUGGGGCUGUCCCUCACAUGCUUUCAGUGGCUGUUGCAGAGGAAGAGCCUCCGGAAAUCUGCGUGGGUCUCAGCCUUAGAUCCAAGGACAGUCCAAGGAAGUCCUAAGACCAUGGAGUUGGUGAUCUGGGAUCUGGGUUUGCUGAUAUUUCUCACCGUGAAUCUCUUGGUGGUGUUUGUGGGCACGAGAGGGGCAGAGAAUGGAGAGUGAGGCUACCACAUGAAGCGUCACCAGAGCUGCUCCCUGCUGCCUGCUCAGAGCACCCCGGAUCCACUGUUCAAUCUGCACAAGAUUCGGGGUCCAGACAUGGGAGACUUCAGCUGCCUCAGAGGACCGUGGACAGGGAAGGCCAGCCUCGCAUCCCUCUGUCCAUGCCUGGAAUGACUUUAAUAACCAAGAGUUUUAUUUUUGAAUUUGUAGCUGUCGUUCACUUUUUACCCACCCAUUCAAUAAACCUUACAGAAUUGCUCCA